UACGGAGGGUGCAAGCGUUAUCCGGAUUCACUGGGUUUAAAGGGUGUGUAGGCGGGUAUUUAAGUCAGUGGUGAAAUCUCCGGGCUCAACCCGGAAACUGCCAUUGAUACUAUUUAUCUUGAAUUCUGUUGAGGUAGGCGGAAUAUAUCAUGUAGCGGUGAAAUGCUUAGAUAUGAUAUAGAACACCGAUUGCGAAGGCAGCUUACUAAACAGACAUUGACGCUGAGGCACGAAAGCGUGGGGAUCAAACAGG
rnacentral:rRNA from 1 species